rnacentral:rRNA from 1 species
AUUGAACGCUGGCGGCAGGCCUAACACAUGCAAGUCGAACGAGUGGCGGACGGGUGAGUAAUUUCUUGGAAACUGCCUGAUGGAGGGGGAUAACUACUGGAAACCGUAGCUAAUACCGCAUACCAUCAGAUGUGCCCAGAUGGGAUUAGCUAGUUGGUGGGGUAACGGCGCACCAAGGCGACGAUCCCUAGCUGGUCUGAGAGGAUGAACAGCCACACUGGAACUGAGACACGGUCCAGACUCCUACGGGAGGCAGCAGUGGGGAAUAUUGGACAAUGGGCGCAAGACUGAUGCAGCCAUGCCGCGUGUAUGAAGAAGGCCUUCGGGUUGUAAAGUACUGUCAGCGGGGAGGCGUUACCCGCAGAAGAAGCACCGGCUAACUCCGUGCCAGCAGCCGCGGUAAUAC